CUGGUAGACUGGAGGUGUGCAGAAGAAAGCAAGGCAAAGGCUUGCGUGGGAUUCCUUUGUCUAAGGAGUGUAACAAGGUCCUGAAACAAGACAAUAUGACAACCAUUGUUGAAAGACUUUGGGCCUUAAGAUAUAUAUGCAUUGAGCAGCUUUGGACUAACGGACACAACUCCAAUCGCACAGUACAUAUAGGGUGUGCUUUGACAGCGAAGGAGAAUGAUGAGAUUUGUACAGAAGCAGUAAUGGAGGGCACUGCUCAUUGGGAAGGUUCCAUGUGAGUGAUGGAGAAACUGCAGAGGUAUGGAUAGAAAGGUACUUUUCAUACUACUACCAUAUAAUAAACAUAGAAUCCAUAAAUCCAGCUAAUGAGUAAAAAUGUUCCUUAUUGCACCCCCCUUAGGAAAUUGUGUCCCCAACUAAAAAUGUUACAGUAAGAAUUGCCUUUAUUUAGAGAAUUUCAAGAAUUCUUUACUACAAAACAUCUAGUUGAGUUUACAGGACUAGAGAUGCCUUUGCCACUAUGAAGCAAAUGAACGGGUCCUCUUAAUGGAGUGGCAUCUGAGGGUCAUUGGAGGGUUGGCAGCAAAGUUGAGCAGGAUCUUCUCCUCCCACAUUUAGGGAGGCUGUUAAGCAAACACACAGCAUUAUUUUUCUGAAUGAUGGAAGGUUGAUGUGUUUGCGAUUUACAAGAUGGGUUUGAUGACAGUGACUUGGAAUUUUCAUUGGUGCUUCACAAGCCUUCAUGGGGAGGAGGAUAGUAUCACGAAGAGAGGCCACAAAGAUAUUGGGAUGGGGUGAGAACCCACCUCCCAGCAGCCCAGGUGGUGAUGCCUCUUCCUCUCCAGUUGGGAUGGAGCUUCAGCAUCCUGAUGUGGUCUCCAGGAUGCAUGCUGUGACAUGGGAUGUGAUGGCAUCCCUUGCCACACAGCACCUCUGCCAAGCAUGCUCCUUUGGGACAUAGAAUGAAUUUCUCAUCUGACCUUAAAUACAAACUCUGUGCCUAAAUGUCAUGGUCAGACAUCUAGACCCUUUUCUUUCAGCCUGUCCCCUCUCUGAAAGUAGAAUUACCUCCCUCCAGCUAUAAAGACAUCGAAAAAUGAAAACUCCAAACUCAGAAUUUCACAGCAACAGACACCCAGGUGGUUUAGGUAUGUUUAUACGAGAGGCUUCUGAGACACAUGCUCAAUGACCUGUUGAGUGGCCAGGCCCUAACUUUCAAAUAUGAGAGUACCCAUGUGUGGCUGAGCUCAUUGGUUCCACUCAAAAUCUGAUGAGCAAUCUGGUGGCUGUCUAGGGCCUCUGAGGAUUUUGCCACAGGGUAAUCAGAGUAUG
rnacentral:lncRNA from 1 species